CUAAGUGCUGUCUUUUAAUUUCUCUGUCCCUACCUUCUUCUCAAGGGAAGAGGUCUCCUGGGGCAUAUCCCAUCUUGCCCCCUUUCCCAUGAGUACUGCUUCUCCUUCAGAUCCAUCUCCUGCUUCUCUGCUGACUGCAUACUGGUGUUGAGUGAUCCCCACAUCAGGCUGCCUGUGUGCUGCAGCUCUCCUGCCUGUUCCAGAAAAGUGUGGAAUCUCUCUCUGCAGAGUGUAACUGAGUUCUCACCCAGCAGCCCCCGAGGCUCUUUGUGCUAUAAAAAGCACCAGCAGCUUUGAGACCUCUCAGGAUGUGUGAAGAGACUCAAAUCUAUUUGCUGAGAGCAGUUCAUAAAGCAACAUUGCCCAAGUCUAUUCUGGAGAAGUUACAGAGUCUGAAAAGGGAAGCAGUGAGAAAAGGUGCCCUGAAGAACAAAGAACUGGGGUAAAAUUUAAAAGCUGAAGGAAGCAGACAUAAGUAGCAAAGAUUCCAAGCAAAGGAGCGAAAGUCCAUUAAUAACCAGAGGUUGCAGGGGGAAGGAUUUAUUUUUAAUCUGCGUUUGUACUGCACCUAGCCUCGCGUAAAGGGAUCCUGAUCUCGGUGGGACUGCCUAUAAGCUACUGCAAUGCAAACAACACAUUGUACAAUAAAGAGCUGUGUUUCGCAACUUUGUUAUAAGAGUGAUAAACUGCCACGUGGAAGCUGGGGAGACAGAAGCUUACUUAUGCCCGACUUAAGUCUGUGAAUCUUCUAAUGUUUAAACUGCAAUUGAAUCUUUUCAA